CGGAUGUUGAGCUCGAUAUCAUUUGGUAAUUUGGGGACCUUCUUUCUUUUGCACAAUCUCGUGACGAGGCUAGGGAAGAAGAUGCCCUUUGUAUUGUCGCGCAUGGAAAGCCAAAUUUGAUCGGACAUAAUUGACCCGAUGUCGACCGGCUUCCCCGUGAUAAUGUAAUAAGCGAGCGCACACCGUUCGUGGUUGAUCCGACUAAACGAUGUAGUCGGGAUUAUGUUGGCGCAAAUAAACGUCAACCACGCCUUGCCUUCAUAAUUGAUGCUUUUCCAACUGAGCUCAUACGUCCCUUUGUCCGGGUAUUCGAUCCAUCGUGGAUGUCCAUCACUCAACACUUCACCAAUUUGCUCUUUGG
rnacentral:lncRNA from 1 species